rnacentral:snRNA from 1 species
UAUAUUAAAUGGAUUUUUGGAGCUCGGAAAUGGAAUAGGAGCUUGCUCCGUCCACUCCACGCAUCGACCUGGUAUUGCAGUACUUCCAGGAACGGUGC